GACCGAUCUAAGGUGAAACCGCGAAUGGCUCAUUAAAUCAGUCGUAAUUUCUUGGAUAGUGAAAAACUUUCCUCGGAUAACUGUGGAAAAUCCAGAGCUAAUACGUGCAACUGAGCUCCGACCUCGGCGCGAGCCUUGGGAAGAGCGCAUUUAUUAGAUUCAAAACUGACCGGCGUACUCCUUCGGGAUACGUCGUUCGUCAAAUGUUUGAUGACUCCGGAUAACUUAGCCGAGCGCUACGGUCUUUAGUACCGGCGCCGUAUCUUUCAAGUGUCUGCCUUAUCAGCUUUCGAUUGUAGGUUAAACGCCUACAAUGGCUGUAACGGGUAACGGGGAAUCAGGGUUCGAUUCCGGAGAGGGAGCCUGAGAAACGGCUACCACAUCUAAGGAAGGCAGCAGGCACGCAAAUUACCCACUCCCAGCCCGGGGAGGUAGUGACGAAAAAUAACGAUGCGAGACUCUUCCGAGGCCUCGCAAUCGGAAUGAGUCCAUCCUAAAUCUUUGGACGAGGAUCCAUUGGAGGGCAAGUCUGGUGCCAGCAGCCGCGGUAAUUCCAGCUCCAAUAGCGUAUAUUAAAGUUGCUGCGGUUAAAAAGCUCGUAGUUGGACUUUCUAGAUCCAUUUCGGGGGUGAGUCGCUCGUUGUACUGGCGAUUCGCGCCAGUCACUAGAUAACGUCGUGCGGAGAGUCUUGUACUUU
rnacentral:rRNA from 1 species